AGAAUGAACGCUAGCGGCGUGCUUAACACAUGCAAGUCGUACGAGAACUCUUUAGCUUGCUAAAGACAGUAAAGUGGCGCACGGGUGAGUAACGCGUGGGUAAUCUACCUCUGAAUUUGGGAUAACUCCGCGAAAGCGGGGCUAAUACAGGAUAAUAUUUCAGAAUCUUCGGGUUUUGAAAUCAAAAGUGGCCUCUACAUGUAAGCUACUGUUUGGAGAUGAGCCUGCGUACCAUUAGCUUGUUGGUAGGGUAAUGGCCUACCAAAGCUACGAUGGUUAGCUGGUCUGAGAGGAUGAUCAGCCACACUGGAACUGACACACGGUCCAGACUCCUACGGGAGGCAGCAGUGGGGAAUUUUGCGCAAUGGGGGAAACCCUGACGCAGCAACGCCGCGUGAGUGAUGAAGGCUUUCGAGUCGUAAAGCUCUGUCAAGUGGGAAGAACAUGAAAAAUGUUAAUAUCAUUUUUUACUGACGGUACCACUAAAGGAAGCACCGGCUAACUCCGUGCCAGCAGCCGCGGUAAUACGGGGGGUGCAAGCGUUAUUCGGAAUUAUUGGGCGUAAAGGGCGCGUAGGCGGUCUUUUAAGUCAGAUGUGAAAGCCCGGGGCUUAACCCCGGAAGUGCAUUUGAAACUGAAGGACUUGAGUAUGGGAGAGGGAAGUGGAAUUCCUGGUGUAGAGGUGAAAUUCGUAGAUAUCAGGAGGAACACCGGUGGCGAAGGCGACUUCCUGGACCAAUACUGACGCUGAGGCGCGAAGGCGUGGGGAGUAAACAGGAUUAGAUACCCUGGUAGUCCACGCAGUAAACGAUGAACACUAGGUGUAGCGGGUAUUGACCCCCGCUGUGCCGCAGUUAACGCAUUAAGUGUUCCGCCUGGGGAGUACGACCGCAAGGUUAAAACUCAAGG
rnacentral:rRNA from 1 species